GCGAGAACGAGCGAGAGAAAGAGAGAGAGAGAGAAAGAGAUAGAGAGAGAGAAAAAGAGAGAGAGAGAACGCGGUGGCCUGGCGCAUCGCUCACGGGCGGUCUCACGCGCGAUACCAAAGUCGCAAUCGUUCGUCGCGUCGCAAAUCCGCGACUCGCGCCGCUCGCCUCGCGCAUUUCUCCGCCGAACCUUGCCUGUGAGCCUCGUCCGCGUCUCGCAAGUCGCAGCAUCGUCGGUCGUGUCGUGGUGAUUCCGUGAGAAAAAGGACGCGCGCGCGCGCUCCGGCAUAUCGUCGCCGUCGUCGCCGUUGUGUUCGGCCGUUCGUUACACGGCGGCGGCCACACUCGACCGAAGAACGAACGAGUGACUCUCUUCGCUCGUUCGCUCGGGACUCGCCGGGCGUUCUGUGUAGUGCGAUCGCGCGAGCCGACGACAAGAGAGAAGAGAAGAGAGAGCCGAGGCGGUCAGGAUUAUGGCACAGCCGACGAGCAGCGCGUUACGGGCGCUAGCCCUCGAGUACAAGAGCCUGCAGGAGGAGCCCGUCGAGGGCUUCCGCGUCAAGCUCGUCAACGAGGACAACAUGUUCGAGUGGGAAGUCGCGAUCUUCGGCCCGCCCGACACGCUCUACCAGGGCGGUUAUUUCAAGGCACACAUGAAGUUCCCGCCGGAUUAUCCGUACAGUCCACCAAGCAUUCGUUUCAUGACAAAAGUUUGGCACCCGAAUGUAUAUGAGAACGGCGACCUGUGUAUAUCAAUUCUGCAUCCACCCGUAGACGACCCACAGAGUGGCGAGCUGCCCUGCGAAAGGUGGAAUCCAACGCAAAAUGUCAGGACCAUCCUCUUAUCGGUAAUCUCGUUGCUGAACGAACCCAACACAUACAGCCCUGCCAAUGUCGACGCCUCCGUGAUGUACAGACGCUGGCGUGACUCCAAAGGCAGAGACAAAGAAUAUGAAAAUAUCAUAAGGAAACAAGCCCAAGCUGCCAAGAUGGAAGCCGAAAAGGAGGGUAUCGUCGUGCCCGUGACAUUGGAAGAUUACUGCAUAAAGACUCGGGCUAGGCCGGCCGAGCAGCAGCUAGAUAUGACGGAUUUCUACGACGAUGAAUAUGAGUUGGACGACGACGAGGACGAGCAACUGAGCGCGACCGACUACGAGGACGGCGAUGACAGUGGCAACGGAGAAUCGUGAUCCAUCUCUUAGAUGAUAAUGCAUAAAGAGAAACUUGAGACGCUGAAUAUUAUCAUCACAUGUUCCUUCUUCCGUCGGGAAGUAACGAUGAGAAAGCGUCCUUUGUCACUCCCGCCAUCCGUGUGUCCUGCGUAUACCGCGCGUAUUUCCGCGAUCUACGAGAUUUCAUUGCGCGAAGUAAUGUAAAACCGCCGUCCGCUCGACGACGGUUCACGCAACGGGACUGCGGCUUUUUAAACGGAGAAAUUCGAGCGUUAUCGUCCAACGACGGACAACUGUGUGUGAGGGUUGAUGAUCAUCACAUUGUAUGAAAUUGCCGAGAAUUCCGUGUUUACAAGCUCUUUAACUUAAGCAAUAUGCUACGGUAUGCGUAUAAAAAAAAAAAAAGUACUUCGAUAGGAGCACUGUGCUUGUUGUGUUGUGGCUGGCACCUCGAUCUUUCAAACCAGGACCAAUUGAUUUACCUAGCAGGGACUAACGUUCGAUAAAGACGAUCAUAAUGUAAGUAAACACGAUGAUUGACUUUGUAUUGGGCAGUCUAGUUUCACGUCAUGUUCAAAGUUGUAAGUGUGUGGGUACGUCAAUUGAUCCUAAAGCGCAAAUAUACCUAUCACUGUGAAAUUUGCAUUGAAUAACAGAAAAUCGCGUUGUUUUGUUUUAUAAUUAUUUAUAUUGUAACACCGCGAGCCCGCAUUGGAAGGAGAAUUCGACGUAGAGAUAAGGGAAAAGAAGUAAAAACGCGCGCUGCCGCAGAAGACCCGCUCGAGAGAGAGAGAGAGAGAGAGAGAGAGAGAGAGAGAGAGAGAGAGAGAGAGAGAGAGAGAGAGAGAAAGAGAAGAGAGAACAAAAUCAAGAUUAUCACACACAGCGAAUCAUGCCAUCAUCACACGCGGGAGAAAAUAUGAGUCGUCGAUAUCGAUAUCGCGAAUUGCAAUUACUCGUCCACGUAUGUGCACAGAGUCGUAUACCGUAUCGGCAUAUUUUUCUCGGCAGUAGCUUCACGUCCGGGUUAGAAAAGCGGUAAUCGCACGAUCAAUGUUAAUCGCUGCUUCGCGGGUCUUCGACGGCGGACGCAAUCAUAGUUUUUAGAGUUAUUAGACACAUGUAACUUUUGGUACAAAUAUCCUAAUUUUGACUGUUAACAACACUAAAUGUUUCCCGAGAGAAGCAACGGAAGCAACGUGUGAGAGAAAGAGAAAAAACUUAUACGCGCAUAACGUUACAGCCACAAAGUUAGUUUAGCCUGUAACUUUCGUUAAGAUCUCUUCGCAUUAAGUAUAUCCUUCACGACGAGGGAAUAAUGCUUUUCGGAGACGGUUCGGUUAAGGUCGCGGUUAAGAAAAAAAAGAUACAAAACAAAAAAGUGACUACUUAAGUGGAAGGUAUAUCCGGAUACAGCUAAUCGACUCUGUGGUAGUGUAUCUGUGCUCGUAUGACUGAAAUUGUAAAUAGUAAACGAAACUCAAUUUUAAAGAUACGAGAUGUAUAAGUGGGUACUUCUACUUAUUUCUUUAUUAGCCAUUUCAUUGAGAGACCAAAAUUGAGUGUUGAAAGUGUUUCAUAAACGGUAAAGGGCGAGAGGACAUUUAAAUUCCACAAUAGCGUCUAAAAAAAAAAAAA
rnacentral:misc_RNA from 1 species